UACAGAGGUCCCAAGCGUUGUUCGGAUUCACUGGGCGUAAAGGGUGCGUAGGUGGUCGGGUAAGUCUGAUGUGAAAUCCCGCAGCUCAACUGCGGAAUGGCAUUGGAUACUAUUUGGCUAGAGGGUUGGAGGGGGGACUGGAAUUCUCGGUGUAGCAGUGAAAUGCGUAGAUAUCGGGAGGAACACCGGUGGCGAAGGCGGUUCUCUGGGCCUGUACUGACGCUGAGGAGCGAAAGCGUGGGGAGCGAACAGG
rnacentral:rRNA from 1 species